rnacentral:rRNA from 1 species
CAAUGGNGGAACUCUGAAUGCAGCGACGCCGCGUGAGUGAUGAAGUAAUUCGUUAUGUAAAGCUCUAUCAGCAGGGAAGAUANUGACGGUACCUGACUAAGAAGCUCCGGCUAAAUACGUGCCAGCAGCCGCGGUAAUACGUAUGGAGCAAGCGUUAUCCGGAUUUACUGGGUGUAAAGGGUGCGUAGGUGGUAUGGCAAGUCAGAAGUGAAAGGCUGGGGCUCAACCCCGGGACUGCUUUUGAAACUGUCAAACUAGAGUACAGGAGAGGAAAGCGGAAUUCCUAGUGUAGCGGUGAAAUGCGUAGAUAUUAGGAGGAACACCAGUGGCGAAGGCGGCUUUCUGGACUGAAACUGACACUGAGGCACGAAAGCGUGGGGAGCAAACAGGAUUAGAUACCCUGGUAGUCCAAGGGCGAAUUC